CGGUCCGGGAGAGACCGCGCCCGGGCGCGGCGCCGAAGGGGCAGAGCGAAAACUCUCAGGCAGACGUACCGGACUG
rnacentral:ncRNA from 1 species